AUAAGCUGCCAGACUUGAGAAGAAGAAGAGAAAAGAAGACUCUAGAAGAUAUUUUUUUAAACAAUGAAUAUUGUAUUAUAUUGUGUAUGAGACAACUUGCCUUUAAAUGCUUGUAUUCAGAUCUACAAUUAAAUCAAGGAAAAUAUUUUUCUCAUUCUCUCUCUCUCUCUCAAAUUCAAACAUUACUCUAUUUCUUGUUCAUCAUAUUCUUCAUUUUCUCUCAAGAAUAACAAAAAGGUUUAAUUAUGUUCGACAAACUCAUAUAUAAAACAAUAGAAAACACAGGGAAAAGAGCUAAUUAGUUAACAAAAAUAUAAAACGAAAUUAGAAAAAGGAUUAACGAUCAACAUAAAAAGAUCUUUACAAUAUAUCAAAAUCAUCAUCAUCAGAAGAAGAAGAAGAAGAAGAAGAAGAAGAAGAAGAAGAAGAAGAAGAAGAAGAAGAAGAAGAAGAAGAAGAAGAAGAAGAAGAAGAAGUUUACAAAAAAAAAAAAAAAAUCAUCAGAAGAACCAAGAGUAGAACCCACAAUCUUUUUAACUUACACGCUAGAAAUCUGUCAUAUUCAUAUGCAAAGCGUCUUUCCUUUUGUGUCCAAUUUGAUGCGACAUAACACAAAAACCUUCAACAAAAAAAUCUCUAUUAGACACACCAAUCCCAAAAUCGAAUAAAACAAUAAACGUAUAGGGGCUAUAGGUAAGACUAUAAAAGGGAAGAGGGAAUGUUUUUCAUGUUUUUGUAUCUCUGACUGAUGGAUCCGUUUUCAGAACAAUUCUAAUCUAUUUGUAUUGGUUCUUAAAAAUAAAUCAACUCUAAAUAGUGUUUAAGUUUUACUAUAAUCAUUUAUUAAGAGUAAAAUGAACUGAUGAACCAAAUAUAUGAAAUAAUAAAAAUGGUUAUUUUAUUUUUAGAAUGGUUUGAUUUUUUAUUCAGUUUUAGAGCUAAAAUCAAAUAGAUUUGAAAAAGAUUUUACUCAAAGAAAUUGAGUUGAAAAUAUAAUGGGAUUAGAGAUGCUUUGAAAUGAUAGACUUAUUCAAUAUAUAUAUUUCAUUAAUUCUAUAUAUCUAUAAGCUGUAGAUUGUUUAUUAAGUUUUUAAAAUUUAUCGUGCAUGGCGUAGGAGCAAUGACGUAAAGAUGAUGACGCAGAGGAGAAUCCUCUGAUAAGGAUUCGAACUUUAAACUUUAAUUUUAAGCAUGUGGUUCAAAACUCGGAAGGCAGGACCAUAUAAAGUUCAUAUUGUCUCGCCAUGCACUGCUCCUAUAAGGCUACACACGUAUGUACAUGUCUGGUCUAAUACUUUGGAGAUCCAUUUUUAUUUUAUUUUGAUUCAAUGUAUCGCAUAGUCUUUGCUUAAGGCCUGUGAUAUUCCCUCUACAGGGAUAUCUUGUUAUCGAAAACUUCAAAUUCAAAAGAUCUUAACAUUAACAUAUAAAUAGUAAUGAUUAUACUGUAAACAAUCCAGCAGGCUCAGCCAAUUGAGCAUCCUGACUUGAAUAAAAAUAUAUUCAGUUCUAAGAUCUUGUUACACUAUAUACAUAUAACUUUACAAACGGUGAAUGUGUGUCAUCUGAUCUUAUGGAAAGACUCUUGGUCUAAGAGGAGGUUUACUUAAGCCUAAAGUUGAUCAUGUGGAAGUCACGUGUGUGGGCUUCUUUGGUUACAUUCAAGUGAGGUCAUAAGGGUCAUUAUCUUCGGCUGGAUAUUCUAGGUUUUGAGAUCAUCGUCCAUCGUGACGAUCGUAAGAGCAUGAUUAACCACAAAUCCAAUUAGAGUUGCUUAAUGAUUAUUUUAGUAUAUAAUUGUUGAUAAGCACUUUAGAUAAGAAACACCCAAAUUUUGUGCUUCAAUGCUAGUUGCUUAUCUAAAGGUUCUUAAAAAAAUUACUUUGGGUUAAAAUUGCACAAUUGAAAGAUUAGGGGUCAAUUAGAAAGGCCUGUUCUGCAAAUCUUAUAGUUUUGGGGUCAAAAAAUAAUUAUCCAAAGACAAAGGAUCGGACUUGAAAAUAAGCCAAGAAUGGCCAUUGGAGCUCACGAGCUUUCUCUCCCGGAUCUGGAGCACAAUGGUGGAGGAUCCGGCGACGGAAAAGCUUCAUUCCAUGGCGGAGGAGAGCUGAGACGGGUUACCUGGAUCGAAGGAUAGGAGACGAGCUGCAGAGGGCCUACGAUGACGUCUCUGUAGCAGCGGAACAUGUCGGAGAUGGAGUUCUUGACCUUGGGCUGGAUCUUGUACCGAUCGAACCAGGCGGAUCGAGCCAACUCGACGAAGACGAGAGGGAGAGGAUCGAGCCAAUUCGACCAAGAUCCAACACCUGUCCCACAAGCACCCGGUUCUUCUACCUCCUCUUUAAGCACCGCUUUUCACAUUUAUCCCAUUUUUCUUUUUUUUUUUAAAUCUUUAUUAAGCUAAGCAUUCCCCCUAAGCACCCUGGUUGAAGAUGGUCUAACAGAAUGUGAGGAGAGGUCAAGAUGAGAUGAGAGAGCGAGAGCAAUAGAUGAGAGUGAGCUAGAGAGAAAUGUGAUUCUCGGUUUAUCUAAGCUCAGAGCUUGUUCUUCUUCCUCUAUUAUACUUGUUGUAACUAGGAUUAGAUGUAAUCGGAAAAGAGGAAGAAGAGGAGAGAAACGUCCGGUGAAGUACACUGUAAUCACAACGUUUAUAGUGGAUUGGCUGAGAGACCGUUUCUCUCUCCGGUGAUGUAUAGCGGCUUCUCCACAUCGGAGAAGUGCGGUGAACACCGGGUAAACAAAGUCUCAUGUGUUCUUUAUUUCUUUCUUGCUUGAUUCCUCGAUUGAUUAGAUCCAGUUAGGCUUGAGGUGAUUAUUGAACUGAGCCAAGAUUAUAGGAUGAAUCCUCAACAAGUGGUAUCAAAGCCUCGGUUUAGGGCGAUUCAGGGAUUCAUCGGAAACGGAUCAAGAUCGGUUCUGAAGGAGAAUCAGAGAAGGGUCGGAGGAGUUGAAGUUUUGAUCGCACUGUUGUUCGAGACUGAAGAAUCUGCAGAUGUUGCAAGAUAUGCAAUGUCCAGUGUAAAGAAAGAAGAAGACGACGUCUGUUUGUGGAAGACGACGACGUCCGAGACGGAGGAAAGAAAAGGAAGAUGCAAUCAGAGCGGAUGGUUUCUGAUUUUGUGAAAUCAUAUGGUUCAGGGACGGCAUAUCAUUGACGUCUCGCAUACCAGCGGCGUUUCAGGGACGGGGACGGCGCGGGGACGGUGUGGGAACGUUUCCGAAACGUUUCAGAGAGGCUGGGGACGACAAAGGUUUCUGGGGACGGCAUGGUUAGGUUUUGGAAACGUUUCCGAAACGUUUAGGAUGUAUAGUCGGCAUAAUUUUGUAAAAGUUUGAUUAUUUACUUUUUCAUACUCUUUUUAUUUGGAUAACAAUUGAAAAAAAAAGAAACACGUCUUGUAUAAAACAAUUAGGGUUAUAAACUUUUAAUCCAUCUUCUCUUACUCUUAAUCAAGCUCUUAUUCUUCUUCUUUCUCACAUCUAAGAAAAACACAGUAAGCAUAUCACAAACUCUGGUUUUGGUUUUUCAAUGCUCACGUAAAAGAAAGUCUUAGACAAGAUUAAUAUUAGAUAGUAUUUGGUUUGUUUCAUGUACGUAUGUGUUUUGGUUUGUACGUAAAAGAAGAGUAUUAGACUUCUUUAUGUUUAUGUUUUUCUUACGUGUGUUGUUUAUAUAAUACAAGCUUCUCACAAUUUUUUUUUCUUUAAGAUAUUAUAGUGAUUUUUUAUUUUAUUUAAGAUAUUAUUAUGGUGUUUUAUUUUAUAUGAGAUUUAUGCUUUGGUUUUAAUAUUCAUAUAUACACAUUUAUAUAUAUACAUAUAUAUAUAUAGACGUACCCAUGCCGUAUCCGUAUCUAUAAAUUUUAGAUUUAGCCGUUUCCCGUUCCCGCCCCCGUCCCUGUAUCUGUCCCCGUAUCCGUCCCGGUGCAACAUAGGUGUUCACAAGACUGAAGUGUAAAGAAUCAGAUGAAUCGGAUAUGUGAUGUUGUCCUGCAGUUCUGAAACUAUUUUGAUGCUGGUUGUUUGAGGUGGAUGUUAUCUCAGGUUACAGAUCAGGUCAAGGUUAGGUAAACAUAAGGGAUGAAAUCUUGGUGGAUCACAGGGAAAUGUAUGGUAUCUUUGCGAAGAAUGAUCAAGACUCAGAUUUGGUGUCAGAUCGUGUUUUGUUCAGCUCGUUUGUGUGGUUUCAGAAUGUUCAAAAGAAUGGCAGUUGUGAUGCUUAUUAAUCUCAUGGUUAAGGGACGCCUUAGGAGUGAGAUGGUAUGUGUGUGUCAAAGGCUGUUCUGGAUAUUAUUAAAGGUUUCAGGAUUCAAGUCAAAUAGAAUUGCAGGGAAGUAAUGGAACAAGAUACUUUUGGUACUUUGAGGAUUCAGGGCUGGUUCAGUGGGUUCAGAAACUUUGAGUUGCAAGUUCAGUCUCACAGGUUAAGGAUCAGAUUUUUGUUAAUUUGAGAAGCUCAGGUGGUGAUGAUCUAGGUUAAGAGAAGGUCACAAGGAUCUUGUAGCAGCAAGGAUUAUUUUCUGCAUAAACGGAUCAAGGCUGUCACAUAUGGCGUUGAGUGACAUAAUUCGAUGAAACGGGAAGAGGCAGCUAGAGCAAAGUCAAGGUACAUAAAAUUGUAGGAUCUGGUCAAGUGUAGGAGCUCAGAGCCGAUAAUGGAAGCAAUUGAGGAAACAGCAGAGGUUCUGUGUUAGUUCAAUUUCAAGAGUAAAAGUCAAGCUCAUUGGGACUUGGGAGCAUGGAAUGAGAAGCUUAUGUUUGUAAGGAGAAGGCGUUUGAGGCAGAUUGCUUUAGAGGUAUCAAGUAUCAGCAUGAGUUUAAGAAAUCAGACAUGUGUGUUCAGGUUGAUGUCCUCUUAAGGUUCAUGUCCUCUGGUUUGUUAAUUGACACACAUGGACUGAGUACUGACACGAGGAGUGGUGCAGUAAGAUGGUGUAGCAUUCAGAGGCUAAGAGAAGUUGCAUUCCAAGAUAUUAAGGCAAGAAUCAAGGCGCCAUACUGGUAGUAAAAUCAGUGGAAACGAAAUCAAGAAGAGGAAUCUGGUUUCAGGUUUAUUUGGCUUUAUCAUGAGUCAAAUAAAAGGUAGCUUGGGUGAGGUACUGUGAGCGAAAGAGGCAAGCUCGUGGUAGAGGUUUUAAUUGUCUCACUCAAGGCGUUUCUGCAGACGGUUAGAAGUAAUGAUUUCUUAAAGAGAAAGACUGAUAGAAUAUCAGUUACAAGGAGCCAAAGAGAAGAAACAAGUUUCUGGUCAUGGCUCAAGAAAAAUAAAUCUAAAGACCUGGUUAUGGUCUGGACAAGGAGGCUACAAAUUCAAGACUUUGUAAAACGUCUCAGUUUUGGCUCAGGUUCUGUUUUUGGGAAGUUUCAGAAUUUUUUUUUAUUAAAGACAUAUUGAGGUUUCUUCAGUGAUUAAGAUUGUUGGAGCGUAUGAGACAAGUGCAGAGGCCACAGGUUCUGAUAGGUUAAAUUCAGAAGAGUUUCACAGGGUUUAAAGUGUUAUGUGAGGAUGUGUUGUUGACAGAGACUAUAACAUGUUGGAGCACAGUCAGUUUUGUGAUACAAUAUCAGAUUGGGAAGCUUGGAAGAAGCUUACAACACUUGCUGGUUCUGGUACUAGUGACUAAAGUUGAAUGGCUGCAUAAUGAAGAUAUAUAUAUUUUUUUUGAUAAGGUCUGGAAUAUUUUUCAGAAGCAAGAAGCCAUGUUUACAGUCAGCUACACAAAGCAGUUAAAGGAAUCAAAGAAGAAAGUGCAGGAUGGUUAUAGGUCUGAGAAGUGAAGCUAUGUGUGAAGAAACACAUCGUGGUUUUGAAAGUUUAUUGUUUCAGGUAGAGCAGUGUCAUGUUUCAGACAGUGUUCUCAGGUCUACUUCAGUUUGAAAAGGUUUCAAAGGUUCUGCGGAUGAGCUUUCAAGAGCUACAGAGAUUCAGGUUGGGUUUUGUGCAGUAAGAAGAGUAAAAGAGAGCCAAGUCAGUGUCAGCAGGUUGAAGCUCAACAAGUUAUGGUCAGAUGGAGUAAAAGGGGUUCAGCUUGUGGUCAGAGAUGUGAAGAGGAUGUCGGUAAUUUCAGUAUAGGUUCUCCACAGAAAGCAUGGACUACAAGGACAUCAAAGCAGAGUCAAUACAGGUAUGAUAAAUCAAUAUAUAAAAUACUUGUGAGGUGGUCUUUUGCAGGUAUUCGUAGGGACUAGAGAGAACAGUUCAAGGUGGAGCUGUUUGAGUCAAUUACCAAUCUGAACAAGUUCAAAGAGUUCUCUAAGAGUAGCUACAAGGAGACAAAGAGCAAGUAUUGCUGGUACUGUCACAAGAGAGCACAAGAAGGUUUGAGCUACUGAGAAAUGAAGUUCUUGGUAACGUCUGGAACAUGCAGGGGCGUUUGUAUACCAAGGUCUGGUAAGGUUCGCAGGUCAGCGAAGCACAGGUUCUUUGCUACAGUAAAGGUGCCUUAAGAGUAGUCACAGGUUUUGUGACUAUGAGACAGGGAUAAAGAAGUCAGCAGGUGGUCAGAUUGUUGUCUGAAGUUCUGUUGAGGCAGAUUUGUUUGAAUAGGGUUUGAGCAGAGAGUUUCUACAUCGAAAGUCUUUUUAACCGGGUUGAGUUAGGCGGCGUGUUCUCCUAGUCAAAGCAGCGGUGCAGAGUGAUGUUCAGGUUGAAAGUACAUACAGAUUGGUGUAGAGGAAAACUUCAGGAUAAGCAGUGAGUAUCUACUAGCUGUUGAGGUUGUCUACAAGGGUUUUUUGAGUCAAAGUGCUUCUGGUUUGAGGCAGCGAUGAUUCAAGUUCUGCAGGAGUUUCAAGCAAGCAUUGUUUCAGGUUUUGGCAGAUUAUUUGAAGACCGUAAUUGCAGUAACAAGUCAAGCAUCAUAAGCUGAUCUAUACUAGUCAAAAGAGAAAGCUUAUGGAGUGUAUGUUAAGUUGCUGGUGAGUGGUUUUCUCAAGUUUCCAGGCCAAUGGAAGAUCAAUGAACAAGUUUCGCGUGACACAAGUCUGUGGAGUGCUGGGAAAAGAAACUUAAGCAGGCAUGUGUGUAUUAUUGGCACAGGAAUGGCAUUGUGAUUCCCAUCACAACAAAGUUACAUGUCUGGUUCAUUGAUGUUGAUUAAGUGGUUGAAGACUGGGAGUUUUAGAUACUGACUAUAUAUAAGUCUAUACUUAUUUGGUUUAUGAAAUUAUUUUGCUAUCCUUAAUCACUCUCAGGAAUAUAUAUUUUAUCCUA